CCUACGGGUGGCUGCAGUGGGGAAUAUUGGACAAUGGGGGCAACCCUGAUCCAGCCAUGCCGCGUGUGUGAAGAAGGCCCUCGGGUUGUAAAGCACUUUCAGUGAGGAAGAACGCCUGGUGGUUAAUACCCAUCAGGAAAGACAUCACUCACAGAAGAAGCACCGGCUAACUCCGUGCCAGCAGCCGCGGUAAUACGGAGGGUGCGAGCGUUAAUCGGAAUUACUGGGCGUAAAGCGCGCGUAGGUGGCUUGAUAAGCCGGUUGUGAAAGCCCCGGGCUCAACCUGGGAACGGCAUCCGGAACUGUCAAGCUAGAGUGCAGGAGAGGAAGGUAGAAUUCCCGGUGUAGCGGUGAAAUGCGUAGAGAUCGGGAGGAAUACCAGUGGCGAAGGCGGCCUUCUGGACUGACACUGACACUGAGGUGCAAAAGCGUGGGUAGCAAACAGGAUUAGAUACCCUAGUAGUC
rnacentral:rRNA from 1 species